UGCCAGUGAUGAGUUGCCAUGCUAAUACCGACGCUGCAGCAAAGAGCUUUGUGCUCUAUAUGUUGGCAGCGGGUGAGUGUAGCAAACCUACUGAGGCUGCAAUCUUGGGCAA